GGUCGGGGGCGCGGUGGUUUCCGGGAGUCGGCACUCAUGGAGGCUCUGAAGCAGCCAAGCGUCUGAGGGCCUCGGCGGCUGCCGCCGCCAUGUUCGGCUGCCUGGUGGCGGGGAGGCUGGUGCAGGCAGCCCCUCAACAAGUGGCUGAGGACAAGUUUGUCUUUGACAUACCGGACUAUGAAAACAUCAACCACAUUGUGGUGUUCAUGCUGGGAACUCUGCCAUUUCCUGAAGGAAUGGGAGGAUCUGUCUAUUUUUGUUAUCCAGACCAGAAUGGGAUGGCAGUGUGGCAACUGCUUGGAUUUGUCACUAAUGAGAAGCCAAGUGCCAUCUUCAAAAUUUCUGGUCUCAAAUCUGGGAAAGGAAGCCAACACCCUUUUGGUGCCAUGAACCUCCCUCAAACGCCAACGGUAGCCCAGAUUGGAAUCUCAGUGGAACUGCUGGAGAGUUUGGCCCAACAGACUCCUGUUGCAAGUGCUGCUGUAUCAUCAGUAGAUUCAUUCACUGAGUUCACUCAGAAGAUGUUGGAUAACUUCUAUAAUUUUGCUUCCUCAUUUGCUGUUACUCAGGCACAGAUGACUCCAAAUCCUUCUGAAGCUUUCAUUCCUGCAAAUGUAGUUCUGAAAUGGUAAUGGAAAUGAUCUCAAGCACUUUUUUUUUUCUCUCCUCAUCAAAAUGGCUAGUUUCGAGGUAUGAGAACUUCCAGAGACGUCUGACACAGAACCCUCUCUUUUGGAAAACAUAAGCUUAAAUCAUGGCAUUUGAAGUGCUUUCUAAAGAGUAUUAUCUGAAAGAUGCAGCAAUUAUCUCCACUAAAGUUUUUUUGGGAAAAAACGAUUAGUCUGAAUAGACAACCUUGUAGCUUUUGUAAUACUCUCAAAAAUUAUUUAAAAUUAAAAUCCAUGAAAACUA